CUGUGCUGUAGUGGGUGUGGCAGACCCCUGGGCUAACAGCCCAAGGGAUGCACCUCAAUGGCCCCCACCUGUGUCCGUAUUAGCAUGCCUGGACCAGCUCAGAACAACAGCCCCCACCAAUGUCUCAGUCUCUGGAGAGGAUCCUCCUCUCACCAAGAUGCCCCCAGAGCCCACCAGGCUCCAGUUAUCUUCAAUUAUGAAUUUAAAAAAUGUUAUUUCUGUCUUCACUAGACCCAUCAACAAGAGCGGUUGUCACAGCCCUAUUUUGAAGACAGGAAUUUGGAAAAGCAGCCCAUACUACUUCAAGUGGAGAAUUUAUAGUUAAUUCAAUUCCCAGAUAUCUCUUUUAAACAUACACAGUAAGUCAGCAGUACUUAAAUGUAAUUAGCAAACUAAAAGCCCUGAAUUUUCUGGUGCAACAGUAAAGGGCAUUUAGCUAUUUACAUAUUUGAGCAGGACAAAUGAAUAGCUUUGAAAGACUACAUUUAUGAUGCACACAUUUGAAUUGAUAUAUUUAGAAC
rnacentral:lncRNA from 1 species